GCAUGUUGUAAAACGAAGACAUGAAUUAGAAGGAUUAAUAUUAUUAAUUAUUUCAAUGGCUUUUUUAUAAAGUUCAGCAUCAUGCACAAAUGCUCUUAGUUGAUCAGGUACAGAAGCACUGGAGUACAUGCCAUGCUCCCACUGUUCACUUCCAUCGUUGAUUGCAGGCAUUGUGAGAAUUGUCUUUCCAUUAUACAAGACACUAGAUUGAAUAUGGACUAAUGUAGAGUGUGACAUCUGUUCAUUGGAAGUUAACAAGACUUGGGACAACCUCUCAAAGAACUUGUCAUCUUCAGCCUCCAAGUAGGUCAGGGGACUAAGAUGAAUAGGAACCGUACAUGGCUUCAACAGGAUUGGGAUAAUUGCUUUUUGUACCAUGCAGUCCCUGAAGAUAGAAAGAUUGGCCUCAAAUAGACACCAACGACUACGAACAAAAUCAGGACUCAGCACUACCACAGUCUUUUGACUGCUCUGGAUGCAAUCAACCAUAUUGUCUAUGAUGGUUUUUCCUGGAAGAAAGUCCCUCUCAUGAUAGCAGAUCUUUAAACGUGGGUACAUGUCCUCUAGUUUAUGAAUGAGAUCAUCAACCCAGAUGGAGUCUCCGCUGCUGUAGCUGAUGAAGACAUGGUACUUGUCAUCCUUAUACAGCGGAGGGACAGAGAGGACCAUGGCAUUAUCUACGCUUUCUACAGCAUCCAUAUUUUCAUGCUCCAACCCCUUUGCAAACAGUGAGGUCAAUAUCUUAUAUUUUCACUGGAUCUCAAACUUUUUGUUGAUGAUGUUCUGGUGAAAAGCUAGAACACAAAAUAAGAAAUGUGAGACAGCAAAACAAUG